rnacentral:lncRNA from 1 species
UAGACUCAUAAUUUAUGCCUUAAUAUUGCACACCUUGUCUUGCUUGAAUGCUCAUGUGAGUUUAUUGACAAACUAAUUCGGAAUGAGUUACAUGCCAAGUGUGUGUGAGGUAAUACCUGUGUUCUGUGCUUGCAUGCGAUACCUAGAACUUUCCCGGUGUGUUUGCAAAUCAAAUAGAAUUUGUUUGGUCUUAGAGAUGAUUUAGGCAUUUCUUCGUGUAGCCUGUCUAAUUAUGAAUCCACCUGUACAUAUUACCAUAGUUAACCCAUUCGAUCCUGAAGCUUGUUUCUUUGAUAACUUUGCAAUAACUUACAUCCUUGUGUUGAAUAGCUUGACUGUUUGAACCUUUGCCUCCUAGAAGUACUUGAUAUGUUAAAGAUUAUAUAAAAGUCAAAGUGUGGGGUUUAAUGGAGUGGGAAAAAAGAAAAUCAGGAAAAUACUUUAAUGGUGCAAUGAUAGUUGAAAAAAAAGAACCUUGUAAAUAGGUGGUCCUAAAAUAGUGAAUGGCAAGAAAAAGUAAGUUGCACCUAGGAAAGUGGGGGUAGUAUAUGAACAUGGAAAUUAGAAUAAAGGGAACAAAUGUAUUAAAAGUACUUAGGGAGGUUAGUCACUAUACCCAAAUAUAUCCUACCCAUCCCUUGGCCUACAUUACAGCCAAAUAAAGACCUCUUGAUCUUGGACUUAACAACUCAAUUAGUGGAUUAUUACACUAAGGGAAAUCUUAUGGUGUAUCUGUAUGGCAUGUGAAUGUUCUUUGAUGAUCGUGAGUGAAUUCUUUCGAUCUAUAGUUCCUUGUUAUUUGAUGUGUGUGGAACUUCUAUCAAAAAUGUUAUGUGAGGGCAUGUGACUCAGGAAGAAAAAGUAAGUUUUCCCCUCUGUUUGGAGUACAUAGAGUAAGCAAGAGUCUGGCAUGGCAUUCGAGUCUUCAUCUGAGAUGUGGCUAUUGCACUGCUUAGGUUGUUCUUUCAUAAUGGCGGGUGUGAUAUCAACAGGGUAAUGCAUCAAGUGAUUAGGCCUAGAAGUAUGGUUCAACUUGCUCGAGGACGAGAAAAUAUUUAAGUGUGGG